UCUUGUGUGAACAAGCAGCACAGAAGCAAAUAAUUACAACAAAUAAUUUAAAUUUGUUUAAUUGAAACAAAAUAUAAGUAAUAUUCGAACUACAUAGAAACAUUGCAUUAAUUGAAAGAUUAACAAUAAUCUAUCGCUAGCAAUAUAUAGAAAUAAAAUAAAGGUACUUAAACUCCGCCAUCAACAUGAAUAAAAUUCAGUUAUUUGCUUGGCUUGGACUAUUAUUCUUUUCGCAUUGUAACGCAUCCCUUAAGGUUCGCAGAAACUUUAAAACUUUGGACCAUCGUCGACGAUACAUUAAUGAGCCGAAAUUAAGCCCAGUAACUCCUGCUGAUGAUGAUGACUUACAAAAAGGCACUGCCACACUGAUUAAUGCUGGACUGCGUGAUGUCAUAUUCAUUAUUGUAAUGUAUUUUGUAUACAGUUAUCCUCAUAGAUUUAAAUUUAAUGUUAUAAAAAAAUAUUGUAUAGCAUUUUAAACCAAAGGG